GAUGAACGCUGGCGGCGUGCCUAAUACAUGCAAGUCGAGCGAACAGAUGAGGAGCUUGCUCCUCUGACGUUAGCGGCGGACGGGUGAGUAACACGUGGAUAACCUACCUAUAGGACUGGGAUAACUUCGGGAAACCGGAGCUAAUACAGGAUAAUAUAUUGAACCGCAUGGUUCAAUAGUGAAAGACGGUUUUGAUGUCACUUAUAGAUGGAUCCGCGCCGCAUUAGCUAGUUGGUAAGGUAACGGCUUACCAAGGCAACGAUGCGUAGCCGACCUGAGAGGGUGAUCGGCCACACUGGAACUGAGACACGGUCCAGACUCCUACGGGAGGCAGCAGUAGGGAAUCUUCCGCAAUGGGCGAAAGCCUGACGGAGCAACGCCGCGUGAGUGAUGAAGGUCUUCGGAUCGUAAAACUCUGUUAUUAGGGAAGAACAAAUGUGUAAGUAACUAUGCACGUCUUGACGGUACCUAAUCAGAAAGCCACGGCUAACUGCGUG
rnacentral:rRNA from 1 species